GUCCGGGAAUCAGCAAGGCUGUUUUUCAGAAAAGUGCACCAGUCCGAGGCCGGAUCCCGGUAGGAAGUCCGACGCUGGAACCCGGCGGGGAGUACGAAGCCGGAUCUCUGCAGUUCGUCAAUAAGGCAGCCCAAAACUUUCCGCAUUUUUGGAUCAUCUGUGGAACAGGCAGCAAUUUUUGGAGCGAUCCGUGAAGGGGAAGGCUUGCCACUUGUAACAGUGGACCAAACAAGCCAGCAACCCCGUCCAAAGUGUCUUGCAUUAUUGGCAAAUUGGCACAGCGGGUCGAUUUAAAGGGAGAUCUGGAGGCGCAGCUAUCACAUUGUCAUGAUUGUCUGGUAGUUUACUCAAAAAUGCUAUAACAAUCGCUAAGCUCGCUGUAAUGUCACCAAGUGCCUCGUCACCUACAAAUUGGCGCCUAUGUCAGUGGUCUAAUAACUCUUAGCGUGCUAAUGGCAUAGUUCCCCUGCCGCAUAGAGAGUUGCCACAAUGAUAUUAGGUUAGCUAAGGUCAGUUAACUGACUGGUGGGAAACGGGAGCUUAAGCAAUGGCUAUUCUGUAUGCAUUUAAGAGAUAAUCUACCAGAAUGGAUGAUUUUUUUUGUACAAUUUUAUGUUUUCUGAUGGUUUUGGUUGUGCAAAA